rnacentral:rRNA from 1 species
UACAACGAGUCGCAAGCUCGCGAGAGUAAGCUAAUCUCUUAAAGCCGUUCUCAGUUCGGACUGUAGGCUGCAACUCGCCUACACGAAGUCGGAAUCGCUAGUAAUCGCGGACCAGCAUGCCGCGGUGAAUACGUUCCCGGGCCUUGUACACACCGCCCGUCACACCACGGGAGUUUGUAACGCCCAAAGUCGGUGGCCUAACCUUUAUGGAGGGAGCCGCCUAAGGCGGGACAGAUGACUGGGGUGAAGUCGUAACAAGGUACC